AUUGAACGCUGGCGGCAUGCCUUACACAUGCAAGUCGAACGGCAGCACUGGUGCUUGCCCCUGGUGGCGAGUGGCGAACGGGUGAGUAAUACAUCGGAACAUGUCCUGUAGUGGGGGAUAGCCCGUCGAAAGCCGGAUUAAUACCGCAUACGAUCCACGGACGAAAGCGGGGGACCUUCGGGCCUCGCGCUAUAGGGUUGGCCGAUGGCUGAUUAGCUAGUUGGUGGGGUAAAGGCCUACCAAGGCGACGAUCAGUAGCUGGUCUGAGAGGACGACCAGCCACACUGGGACUGAGACACGGCCCAGACUCCUACGGGAGGCAGCAGUGGGGAAUUUUGGACAAUGGGCGAAAGCCUGAUCCAGCAAUGCCGCGUGUGUGAAGAAGGCCUUCGGGUUGUAAAGCACUUUUGUCCGGAAAGAAAUCCUUGACUCUAAUACAGUCGGGGGAUGACGGUACCGGAAUAAUAAGCACCGGCUAACUACGUG
rnacentral:rRNA from 1 species